CACAACACCACAGGACACCUACAAGUAGAAGGAUAUCUGAUCAAAGAAAUGCAAGAACUUUAUGAAAAAACUUGCAAAUCUUUUUUUGAGGGCUGCAGAAGAAACAGUAUAAGCAGGCUAAAUAUGUGCUAAUAAAUAUCAAAUUUUCAUGUCAUUGACAAGACGAUUUCAUACUUCUUACGGACCUAUAAAGGCUGAGAUGAGCCAAGACAAUUUUGAAUAAGCACUGGGCCUUGUUCUACAAGAUGGAGACACUUAUCAUAAGCUAUACUAAUUAAGACAAGAGAGCGUUGCCGUGGAAAUAGAACCAACAGAUCAAGGGGACAGAACAGAGAGCUUAGAAACAGACCCACGUAGGUAGAGUAACAUGGUUCAUGACCAAGGGGGCAUUUUUAUUUUUACCGGAAAAUGGAAAAAGGGAGACGAAACGAAAGCAGACCAAUAACCCCAACGAGAAUAAUAAUCGCGAACACAUGUUAGGAGAUACCAGCCAGGCACUGUUCAAAGGCUUUAUGUGUGUAACUCACAGAAUCCUCACCCCCUCACGGUAGCCCUCGCGGUAGCAAAGAUACAGAGAAGUCAGAAAACCAACCCCAGGACACAGAACUAGCAACUGGAUCCCCAGGAUCCCAACCAAGACUCCAGACCCGUGGCAAACCCCAGGAUGUUACCUGUGCUUCUACAAAGUGGCUACAGCUUGGAGGUUUUAACAACCUCUUUGCGACUGGUUUAGAAGAACAGAAAAACAACAAGGCCCCAAACCAAGAUUCCAUGAAAACUUUGGUUGAACACAAUCUUUAUUUCAGGAAACAUGCUGAGGAGAUGGUAUUUUA